AAGUUACUCCCUCCGUUCGGAAUUACUCGUCCAAGAAACGAAUGUAUCUAGAUAUAUUUUAGUUAUAGAUACAUCCAUUUUAUCCAUUUUUGUGACAAGUAAUUCCGAACGGAGGGGGUACCUU
rfam:Triticum aestivum genome assembly, contig: Triticum_aestivum_CS42_TGACv1_scaffold_031756_1BL